UGACAGCCAUUAAAGAUGUCCUGUCUCCUUCAGUUUUCAGUAGUUGAAGGUGAAGUUGGUUCGUUGUUUGUUUAUCCUUUAUUUUAUUGCGUCAUCAAGUUGAUGAUGAUUUUUGAUUGCUGAAGGUCUUAAAUUAAGACGAAGGUGGGAAUAGAACUGCAGAUACAUAUUAUACUAAAAUCCACCAUGACAGAUGAAUAUGAUGCCAAGGAUUAGAUUUGAAAAAAGUUCUUCUCCUCUCUACAUUUGAUGAAAGCCAUUUUCAGCAAAGGUGGGAAUAGAACUGCAGACGCAUAUACCAAAAUCCACCAUGACAGACGAAUAUGCUGCCAACUACAGUUUUAGAUUUAAAACUCCUUUCUACAUCUGAUGGAAACCAUUUUCAGACCAAGAGCAGAGAGACUACGCCUCAUGAAGCUCAAAUCGAGGACGAUAGCAGUUCAAAGUAAAAAUAUAUAAUUAGUUAUAAAUUGAAAGUUCAAUUUUUGUAAUAUUUAAUAAAAAUCAUUGCAUUUUAUUGAAAA